AAGGGAGCUUGCUCCUGAGGUGACGAGCGGCGGACGGGUGAGUAAUGCCUGGGAAUAUACCUUUAGGUGGGGGACAACAGUUGGAAACGACUGCUAAUACCGCAUAAUGUCUACGGACCAAAGGGGGCCUCUAUUUAUAAGCUCUCGCCUUUAGAUUAGCCCAGGUGGGAUUAGCUAGUUGGUGAGGUAAUGGCUCACCAAGGCGACGAUCCCUAGCUGGUUUGAGAGGAUGAUCAGCCACACUGGGACUGAGACACGGCCCAGACUCC
rnacentral:rRNA from 1 species